rnacentral:rRNA from 1 species
UACGGAGGGUGCAAGCGUUAUCCGGAUUCACUGGGUUUAAAGGGUGCGUAGGCGGGUUGGUAAGUCCGUGGUGAAAUCUCCAAGCUUAACUUGGAAACUGCCGUGGAUACUAUCAAUCUUGAAUUUAGUGGAGGUGAGCGGAAUAUGUCAUGUAGCGGUGAAAUGCUUAGAUAUGACAUAGAACACCCAUUGCGAAGGCAGCUCGCUACACUAUUAUUGACGCUGAGGCACGAAAGCGCGGGGAUCAAACAGG